GGCCUAUGGUGUAGUGGCAGCACAGGAGACUUUCAAUCUUUUAGCACGGGUUCUAGUCCCGUUGUGGGGCUC
rnacentral:tRNA from 1 species